rnacentral:rRNA from 1 species
CCUACGGGAGGCAGCAGUGGGGAAUAUUGGGCAAUGGGCGGAAGCCUGACCCAGCGACGCCGCGUGAGGGAAGAAGGCUUUCGGUAUGUAAACCUCUAUCAGCAGGGAAGAAGGAACUGACGGUACCUGACUAAUAAGCCCCGGCUACCUACGUGCCAGCAGCCGCGGUAAUACGUAGGGGGCAAGCGUUAUCCGGAUUUACUGGGUGUAAAGGGCGCGUAGGCGGGGAGGCAAGUCAGGAGUGAAAUGCAGGGGCUCAACCUGGGGACUGCCUUUGAAACUGUAUGGCUGGAGUGCUGGAGAGGUAAGCGGAAUUCCUAGUGUAGCGGUGAAAUGCGUAGAUAUUAGGAGGAACACCAGUGGCGAAGGCGGCUUACUGGACAGUAACUGACGCUGAGGCGCGAAAGCGUGGGGAGCAAACAGGAUUAGAUACCCUUGUAGUC